rnacentral:rRNA from 1 species
UACGGAGGGUGCAAGCGUUAAUCGGAAUUACUGGGCGUAAAGCGUGCGUAGACGGUUAUGUAAGUCGGAUGUGAAAGCCCCGGGCUCAACCUGGGAAUUGCAUUCGAGACUGCAUAGCUAGGAUGCGGAAGAGGGAAGUGGAAUUUCCGGUGUAGCGGUGAAAUGCGUAGAUAUCGGAAGGAACAUCAGUGGCGAAAGCGACUUCCUGGUCCAGCAUCGACGUUCAGGCACGAAAGCGUGGGGAGCAAACAGG